ACAUAGCUCAAAGGAAGCAAGCCAGUUUAACAUUCCCAGGAUCUGGAAUUCACUGUAGUCGCACUUAUACCUGAAAUUAUGAACCUGUACGCUUCUGUUAAUUGUGAUGGAUUACAUAUAGUGAUUAAUAUUUCUAAAACUUUUUCUUUGUUUUCAUUGUGAAAAUUGACCAAAAAGAGACACGGGACCUGAUAAACUGUGACUCUGGUCACAUUAGUUCAGUUUCCAAAAUUAAGAGUUAAUAAGAUGCAUGCAGGUAUCCAGUUGUUUACUCUCAUGUCUACAUUUGAACACUAAUAAUUGAGUCAUAUGUAUUCACAUAUGAAUACCAAUUUAUGGAAAUUUUAUUCUCGUAUUAAACACUUCAGUGGCUUGUUUUUAAAUACCAAACCAAUUUGUCACCUUACCCACUUGGAAAAGUUGAUUUCUUUAAAAUCUGUGGGUGUUUUGGGGGGAUGGGCAGGUGGCAGCCUGAAAUUUCUCCCCUUCUCUUCUGUUUAAAACAAUAUCAAGUCCUUCCAUUAUAGUGUUAUUUAAAAUAUUAACUGUAGGACGCUACAUAAAACGGAGUGUGGAUUUUCAUUUUUUUAAUGUUCUUCUUAAUAAGAUAAUCAAAUCAACCAUAGCGACAUCCUUCAAGUGGGCACUGAUUGAUAAGCCCUUUCCUUAUCAGCCAGUGAUCUAUCUCACAUGAGGUAAAAAUGCGCACGGGAGGAGCUGUGACCAAAACACGGUGAUGCAGGGAAACAGAUGUUACAUGUUACAUGUGUGGAAACAUGUUACACACUUGGAAAGAUAGAGUGUCUUAUCUGAUAUUUUACAUUCCCAGAAAUGUGUUCUCUACACUUUUAAAACUAAAACACACACAAUUAAAAUAUUUGUAAGUACACAGUAUAUAUUUAAAAUAUAAAAUAUUUUAUGUGCAUAAAAUUUGGUUUCUCACCGUACAUACUAUUGAUCUUGAGAUUUUGUGCUCAGUACUGCGUUGUCUCAGGAGGCUACCCUGUAUGCUGUUUGAUGUCAGGCAGCACCACAGUCCUCCAGGGAUGGCUUGUCAACAUUCCUGCCCCCAGCCCCCCCAACCCCCACUUAUCACAGCUCACAAGACACUGCUAAAGGUCUCCUGGAGAGCAAACACCCCCCUAAUGACAACACUAUUCUAAGUCAUUUGCAUGUGACACUGCAGCACUGUUUCAUGCAAAGCAGCAAGCAUGAAGACUUUCUCUUUUUUGUUUGUUUGUUUGGUUGGUUGGUUGGUUGGUUGGUUGGUUUGGGAGAGGGGGUUGUUGUUGUUUUGUUUUUUUGUUUUUGUUUUUCGAAACAGGGUUUCUCUGUGUAGCCCUAGCUGUCCUGGAACUCACUCUGUAGACCAGGCUAGUCUCAGAAAUUCACCUUCCUCUGCUUCCGGAGUGCUGGGAUGAAAGGCGUGCACCACCACUGCCAGGCAACUCCCUAAUUUUUUUUUUUUUAAAGAUUUAUUUAUUUAUUAUACGUAAGUACACUGUAGCUGCCCUCAGACACUCCAGAAGAGGGAGUCAGAUCUCGUUAUGGAUGGUUGUGAGCCACCAUGUGGUUGCUGGGAUUUGAACUCCUGACCUUCGGAAGAGCAGUCGGGUGCUCUUACCUACCCACUGAGCCAUCUCACCAGCCCCCUAAUUUUUAAGGUUGCAUUUAUUCUAUUUUUUUUCUUAAUCUUAUGAAACAAUUUUUUUCUUUUUCUUAUUUAUCUUAUUGAGAAUCUUUAGCAAGGCAAGGCUUCCGCCACCAAACCCAAUGAGCUGAGUUCAGUUGGAGGCACCUGCAUGGAAGGUGAAGAGAACUCACUCCCACAAAUUCAUCUUUGACCUCAACACUUGUAUCAUGGUACACUCGUGUGCAUGUGCACAUACACUCAUACCCAUGCACACAUGCAUACACAUACAAAUAAACAGAUGUCAUAGUGCACACAAAUACACACACAUAUUUGUGCAUAUACACACACAGAAAUAGACAUGUCAUGAUACACGCAUGCCCAAACAUUUGCACCCACUUGUACAUACACACAAAUAUACCAGAAUAAGUCUUUAAACACUUUAAAGUCUUACAAACACAAGACCACACAUUUACAUUUUUAAAAAUAUGCUCAGAAUUAACACAAUUGUUCUUUUUAAAAUUACGUUACUUAGCGGGUUCAAAGACUAUGUUAGAUUUUUCUUUUUAAAGAUAUAUUUAUCAUACUUAUUUAUGCAUAUGUGCUUGCAUGAGUUUAUGUGCACCGUAUGUGUGCAGGUACCCACAGGGUUUCAGAUCCUCUGGAACUAGAGGUCCUGUCCGUUGUGAGCCAACAUGUGGGCGCUGAGACUUGAACUCAGGCCUUCUGGAAGAGUAGCUGAGGAUCCACCUCUCCAGACGCUGUUUGACUGUUUUCUUUAGCUAGCUUGGGGACUUCAAUAGGGAUACAAGCACAUCAUUUUUUCAAUCAUGAAUUCACACUCAAGGACACGUGUUUCCAUUCUGCCUACCAGAGCUUGAGACAGGAAACGAUUCAUUAUUCCUAUCCUGGUGCCAUCAGUGGCAGGCUCAUUGUUUGGAUGUCAUUCUUAUCUUGGAACGCUCUCAUUUUUGUUUAAAAAUACACUUUGAUCCAUAAUAGUGACAGCUGCUUGUCAUCACAAAUGUAGCAGCAACCUGAGGUGUUUUCCAAGUCCUUAUGAUGAAACAAUAAGCAAAAUUCUACAUAGGGGGCUGGAGAGAUGACUUGGUGGCUAAGCGCAUGGGCUGCUCUUCCAGAGGCUAUUGAGUUUAAUUCCCAGCAGUCACAUGGUGGCUCACAACCAUUGGUAAUGGAAUCUUAUGCCUUCUUCUGGUGUGUCAAUAGCAUAUGCAUAUACAUACAAUCAAUAAAUAAAUCUUUAAAAAAACAAAUGAAAAAACCUCUACAUAGGCACCAAGUAUUUCUAUAAUCAUUUGCUAUGUCAUUCUAAAUGCUUCAAAGAAUUCACUGUGUUGUUUUUUUUUUAAUUAAAAUAUCAGGUCAUUAAUUUCACUUUGUACACUUUGAACUUCUUUGCCUAAACAACUCACAUAUUAAUUUUGCAAAGUUUAUCUUCAUAAACCAGCCUGGAGCUCAUUCUGUGGGUAAAUUUAUAAACUUUGCCACAAAAUAUCACUUGAAUUAAAGGAGCCAUUCACUGUUGAGAAUGCUACCUCAUUGGCUGCCCUGUUCCUUGGUGGCUCAGCAUAGAAGCGACUGUACUCACUCACUCCGCCACUGAGAAAGCCUUUAGUGAGGAGCUGAGACCCAUGAGAACAGAUGCCCAUCAGUUAGCAACCUGUUCCUAACCCCUUACUACGCAGGGCUUUACGAGCCCCAUUGUCACACUGUUGUUAACCAUCAGAGGAAUUCAUCUGAAGUUACCACCACAUUUCAGUGACUUCUCAGCCACUUUUACCAAGGUACAACCGAGUUUCCUUCAUAUUUCCUCAGGUCAGUGGUAGUUAAGUAAAAAAUCUCAGUUAUGGGCUCUAAGCAGCGAAGGUGAAAUGCAAUGUCACGUAAAUCAGCCUCCCAGGAGAAAUCUGAUAAAGCAUAUUUUAGAUGCAUCCGUGUAGAAUUUCUAACGACGAUGAUUUUGUCUUGUACUCAGCUUGCAUGGGUAUGUGCACUGUGUGUAUGCAGGUACCACACAGGGUUUCAGAUCCUCCGGAACGAGAGUCACAGUCAAGGUCCAGGUUACUUCUGAGAAACACGUGCUUUGAAUCUUAUAAUCAUUUAUCCAUAUUUUGGGACUUUUAUUGAUCCUUUUAGGGCGGAAGGAGUAGAGGACAGGCAUUUUGCCAAGUCUAGAUAGACUGUCAGCACACCAACAAUUCAGAUUCAAGAGGAAUCCCAGCCAUGUCUUACUCUUCGUUGUCUCAUCGUUUAGCUAAGCUUCAAGUAAGACGGUUUCUCUGUUAGUUGUCUCAGCUUGACUGUAAGGGAACUGAACCACACCUGCAAGCAAUGGAUGGCUGUAAAGCUCUUCUAGCUUGUCCAAGACUCAGUGUCCCCUAACAGACUUGGCUUCUCCUAAGUGCCCUGCGGGAUGAGGCACAUUCAAUUUAGGUGUCGAUCCACCAAGAUUAAAUGUUUGAAAAGCUUGGUUUUGUUCUUCUAUCAUCAAAACAUCAAACAUC
rnacentral:lncRNA from 1 species